GACGUAGGGCGCGAGCGUUGUCCGGAUUUAUUGGGCGUAAAGAGCUCGUAGGCGGCUUGUCGCGUCGGCUGUGAAAACCCGCGGCUCAACUGUGGGCGGGCAGCUGAUACGGGCAGGCUGGAGUUCGGUAGGGGAGACUGGAAUUCCUGGUGUAGCGGUGAAAUGCGUAGAUAUCGUAAGGAAGACCAGUGGCGAAGGCGGGUCUCUGGACAGUUCCGUGACGCUGAGGCACGAAGGUCAGGGGAGCGAAACGGGG
rnacentral:rRNA from 1 species